UACGUGAGGGUGCGAGCGUUGCCCGGAUUUAUUGGGCGUAAAGGGCGCGUAGGCGGCUCGGCACGUCCGUUGUGAAAUCGCCCGGCUCAACUGGGCGGGGUCAGCGGAUACGGUCGAGCUUGAGCAAGCUAGGGGGCAAUGGAAUUCCCGGUGUAGUGGUGGAAUGCGUAGAUAUCGGGAGGAACACCAGUGGCGAAGGCGGUUGCCUGGGGCUUUGCUGACGCUGAUGCGCGAAAGCGUGGGGAGCGAUCCGG
rnacentral:rRNA from 1 species